UUUACAGACAGCAGUCGAACUCUACUGAAGCCUCUGAACAGAAAGAAAAUUCUGACAAUGUAAGCCUUUUCCUCAGCUGAGGAACAUUGCCGGUGUCACCACUCCAGACUGUGUCCUGAACGUGGCCUCAACUGGACAGUUCUGCCAUGCACGACACAUUUCCUCCUUUGAAGAAUUCCAGAUUGGUCCUGUAGGGUGUCACUCAACGUUUAUAGGCCCAGGAAAAGGAUCAAAAUUCUAUACUUUCUGUAAAAGGAUACUUCCCAAGAUGACUGUAGUGAACGUACAAAGGUGCAGGACAAGUAUUAGAUUUUGUGAAGCAGCUUCGUAAGCAUGUUUCCUCAACAGAAGAGAGAAGUCCCACUCUUUAUGCGGACAUACAAGAGAUAACCACAGAAUCUGUCUUGGAGUGAAGAAGACAAAAUAUUUACCAGCUCUCAUGUCAUGAAUUUUGAUUGGGUUUUAGUCAUGGUUGUGAUCCCAAGUAUGGUGAAAAUUAACAAAGAAAAAUAGAAACACUUGAACAAUGCAUACAUAAAAACAAUGCAUACAUGUUUCAUUAAACUAAACUAAAAAGAUUAUAUUUUUCCAUAAAGGUCCUGGGGAAUAAAUUGUGUACUUUAUGUGGAAGAGGAUUGAGAAGGUGGUAUCUUCAGUAAGCCUCUCUUAUCAGAACUGUGAAAUUCAUCAACU